rnacentral:rRNA from 1 species
AAACCAACAGGGAUUGCCUCAGUAACGGCGAGUGAAGCGGCAACAGCUCAAAUUUGAAAUCUGGCUCCGUCGGGGUCCGAGUUGUAAUUUGUAGAGAGUGUUUCGGGGGAGACCACGGUCUAAGUCUAUUGGAACAUGGCGUCAUAGAGGGUGAGAAUCCCGUAUGUGACCGUGGCUCGAGCCCAUGUGAAGCCUCUUCGACGAGUCGAGUUGUUUGGGAAUGCAGCUCAAAAUGGGUGGUAAAUUUCAUCUAAAGCUAAAUACUGGCUGGAGACCGAUAGCGCACAAGUAGAGUGAUCGAAAGAUGAAAAGCACUUUGGAAAGAGAGUCAAAAAGUACGUGAAAUUGUUGAAAGGGAAGCGCUUGCAACCAGACCUGUCCGUAGGUGAUCAGCCGCUGUUCUCAGCGGUGCACUCGCUCUGCGAUCAGGCCAGCAUCGGUUUCGGCGGUCGGAUAAAGGCCUUGGGAAUGUAGCUUCCUUCGGGGAGUCUUAUAGCCCUCGGUGCAAUGCGGCCAGCCGGGACCGAGGACCGCGCUUCGGCUAGGAUGCUGGCGUAAUGGUUGUAAGCGACCCGUCUUGAAACACGGACCAAGGAGUCUAACAUCUAUGCGAGUGUUUGGGUGUCAAACCCAUGCGCGGAAUGAAAGUGAACGGAGGUGAGAACCCUUUAGGGCGCAUCAUCGACCGAUCCAGAUGUCUUCGGAUGGAUUUGAGUAUGAGCAUAGCUGUUGGGACCCGAAAGAUGGUGAACUAUGCCUGAAUAGGGUGAAGCCAGAGGAAACUCUGGUGGAGGCUCGCAGCGGUUCUGACGUGCAAAUCGAUCGUCAAAUUUGGGUAUAGGGG